rnacentral:lncRNA from 1 species
CUACUUUGAAGAAUCUGAAAUAUAAAAUAUAUUUUGAUUUGUUUAACACUUUUUUGGUUCCUACAUGAUUCCAUAUGUGUUAUUUCAUAGUUUUGAUGUCUUCACUAUUAUUCUACAAUGUAGAAAAUAGUAAAAAUAAAGAAAAACCCUUGAAUGAGUAGAUGUGUCUAAACUUUUGACUGGUGCUGUAUAUAUAUAUAUAUAUAUUUAUUUAUUGUUUAUGGUUCAUUGAACAAGCAUGGGAAACAGUGUUUAAACCCUUUACAAUGAAGAUUGUGAAGUUAUUUGGAUUUUUACCAAUUAUCUUUGAAAGACAUGGUCCUGAAAAAGAGACGUUUCUUUUUUUGCCGAGUUUAUAUACUGUAUAUUGAAAUAAUUACAUGAGAAAUAACGAAAUACACAGUGAAUAACAAUUAACAAUUGUUGAGUAAAAAUAACAUUGCUAUGUACAUUGAGUACCAGUACUGAGUUGACGUGCACGGGGUACGAGGUAGUUGAGGUAGCUAUGUACAUAUCGGUAGGGGGUAAAGUGACUAGGCAACAGGAUAGAUAAUAGACAGUAACAGCAGUAUACUGUAGGUAGGGGUAAAGGAUAGAUAAUAGACAGUAACAGCAGUAUACUGUAGGUAGGGGUAAAGGAUAGAUAAUAGACAGUAGCAGCAGUAUACUGUAGGUAGGGGUAAAGGAUAGAUAAUAGACAGUAACAGCAGUAUACUGUAGGUAGGGGUAAAGGAUAGAUAAUAGACAGUAACAGCAGUAGGUAGGGGUAAAGGAUAGAUAAUAGACAGUAACAGCAGUAUACUGUAGGUAGGGGUAAAGGAUAGAUAAUAGACAGUAGCAGCAGUAUACUGUAGGUAGGGGUAAAGGAUAGAUAAUAGACAGUAACAGCAGUAUACUGUAGGUAGGGGUAAAGGAUAGAUAAUAGACAGUAACAGCAGUAGGUAGGGGUACAGGAUAGAUAAUAGACAGUAACAGCAGUAUACUGUAGGUAGGGGUAAAGGAUAGAUAAUAGACAGUAACAGCAGUAUACUGUAGGUAGG